rnacentral:rRNA from 1 species
GAUGAACGCUAGCGGCAGGCCUAAUACAUGCAAGUCGAACGGCCCCGACACUUCGGUGUCGGGGUAGUGGCGCACGGGUGCGUAACGCGUACACAACGUGCCCAAGGGCGGAGGAAAGCGGCGGGAAACUGCCGGUAAUACUCCAUGGUGUUGUUGAGUGGCAUCACUUAACAACUAAAGUACAAGCGCCCUUGGAUCGGUGUGCGUUCGAUUAGCUAGUUGGCGGGGUAACGGCCCACCAAGGCUUCGAUCGAUAGGGGGUGUGAGAGCAUGACCCCCCCACACGGGUACGUGAGACACGGACCC